AGAAGAAGAAAAUUCCACAGGCUUUUGGAAUUAAAGAACAGUUGAAUUGUUUGUAUUUAUCACCACCAAAUGUUUUGAACGAUAAUACACUAGCGGCACCCAUUCAGUCAAUAUAGAUAGAUGGAGCACCAAUUUGCUAGCCUGGAUUUGUAAUUAUGCAUGUAGAUACAAGACUGUGCCAGUGGAUCAUUCGCUGGAGACAAUAUAACGUGUUAGCUAGCUGGCUAGCUAGUUUUAUUUUAUUAUUUUUCAAACCAACGCUUUUUAACAUUUUUUGAGUUUUUAGUUCUCAUCUGUUCAUGCACCAGAUUAGAAUGCAAAGUUUUGUUUGCUCAAUGCCAGGAGUGAGACACUACAACGGUGCCAAGUUUGGGCCUCAGACAUGAAGCUUAGGUUUCUGGCUGUAAUGACCCUGAAGUCGACAGUGUGGCAGAUGCUACCUUGCAUUCUGUCAAACCAUCUUGCCAUCUCCAAAACCUGGACUGGGGCAGGGGAUAAGGCCUGGUUCAGGGACUUGUUUCUGAAGACCAUUC